rnacentral:rRNA from 1 species
CGUAGGUGGCAAGCGUUGUCCGGAGUUACUGGGUGUAAAGGGCGUGUAGGCGGGAAGAUAAGUCAGAUGUGAAAUUCCAUGGCUCAACUGUGGCGCUGCAUCUGAAACUAUUUUUCUUGAGUGAUGGAGAGGAAAGUGGAAUUCCUAGUGUAGCGGUGAAAUGCGUAGAUAUUAGGAGGAACACCAGUGGCGAAGGCGACUUUCUGGACAUUAACUGACGCUGAGGCGCGAAAGCGUGGGGAGCAAACAGGAUUAGAUACCCUGGUAGUCCACGCUGUAAACGAUGGAUACUAGGUGUAGGAGGUAUCGACCCCUUCUGUGCCGGAGUUAACACAAUAAGUAUCCCACCUGGGGAGUACGGCCGCAAGGUUG